CCGCUAAGCCUAAAUAUUCCCUGGUGACCGAUAGCGGAUAGUACCGUGAGGGAAUGGUGAAAAGUACCGCGGGAGCGGAGUGAAAUAGUACCUGAAACCGUGUGCCUACAAGCCGUGGGAGCGUCGGGAUGGAGCUUGCUUCAUCCUCGUGACUGCGUGCCUUUUGAAGAAUGAGCCUGCGAGUUUGCGGUGUGUUGCGAGGUUAACCCGGGUGGGGUAGCCGUAGCGAAAGCGAGUCCGAACAGGGCGUUUCAGUAGCACGCUCAAGACCCGAAGCGGAGUGAUCUAGCCAUGGGCAGGUUGAAGCGGAGGUAAGACUUCGUGGAGGACCGAACCCACCAGGGUUGAAAACCUGGGGGAUGACCUGUGGUUAGGGGUGA
rnacentral:rRNA from 1 species